rnacentral:rRNA from 1 species
GGACCUGACUGCUAUCGGAUUGAUACUAAGCCAUGCUAGUCUUUGUAGUAAUACAAGGCAUACGGCUCAGUAACGCGUAGUCAACCUACCCUAUGGACAAGAAUAAUCUCGGGAAACUGAGCAUAAUUCUUGAUAGAUCAUAAUGCCUGGAAUGGUUUAUGGUUAAAAUGAUUCGUCGCCAUAGGAUGGGACUGCGGCCUAUCAGCUUGUUGGUGAGGUAAUGGCCCACCAAGGCGAUUACAGGUACGGGCUCUGAGAGGAGAAGCCCGGAGAUGGGUACUGAGACAAGGACCCAGGCCCUAUGGGGCGCAGCAGGCGAGAAAACUUUGCAAUGUGCGAAAGCACGACAAGGUUAAUCCGAGUGAUUUCUGCUAAAGGAAUCUUUUGUUAGUUCUAAAAAUACUAGUGAAUAAGGGGUGGGCAAGUUCUGGUGU